GCUUAAAGGGGUGAAGGAUAAUCCAAGAAGAGGAUAAUACAGCCCUUGAGUGUCAGAAAAACCAUUUAUCCCUUGAAUAAUGAAGGUAAGUCUAUGGGCUUUUCCAGACAAUAUUUUUCAAAAUGGAUUCCCCCCCCCCCUUUAGGGCUAUGCUAGUGCUAAGCUCGCUGCAGGGGAAAUAGCCAUAGUGCUGUUCACAACAAAGAGACCAUCUUGGUCGUGAGUCUUGGAAGACCUGCUCCCUGCUUUUCAGGCCUUUUCUCACUUGGUCCGGGAGGGCAGGCCCUGACUGAAGCUGAAGCUGUGGAUGAAACCAAAGACCAUCUUGGCUGUCUUUUAAUACAGACCUAGGUCCUCAAGCCUGAGCUUCCACGGCCACCACCUACCAUGAAUCACCGUUGGCAGGACUGGCAGCAGCAGCAGAUAUGUACUAUGCCUAUGAUAAUAUUUUAUUCACUUCCUGCCAACCUAGCAGUUCGAAAGCACGUCAAAGUGUAAGUAGAUAAAUAGGUACCGCUCCGGCGGGAAGGUCAAUGGUGUUUCUGUGCGCUGCUCUGGUUUCACCAGAAGCGGCUUAGUGAUGCUGGCCACAUGACCCUGAAAAACUGUCUGCGGACAAACGUCUGCUCCCUCGGCCAGUAAAGCGAGAUGAGCGCCGCAACCCCAGAGUUGUUUGUGACUGGACUUAACUGUCAGGGGUCCUUUACCUUUACUUUUUAAUUAUGCUGUUUUAAAUGCGCAUUUUAUAUUCUACUUCCUUUAGUAAUGUUUUAUUUUGAAAAGUUUCAGGUAAAGUUUGUUACCUUUGCUAGAUUAAAUGUGCAUUCUGUAGUUGACCUCUUUUGUAAUGUUUUGUUUUGAAAUCUUUAAGAGAAUAUUUUAGUUUUCCCGUUAAUCAUGUUUUUUUGAAUGUGUCCUUUAUAUUUGACUUUUUCUGUAAUAUUUUAUUCUGAAUUGUUUUACUUGAUGUUUUAAAAGUUUGGCAGUGGGCAUGACACUCCAGGAGAACAACUCCGUUCUUUCUGUGCAGUUCUGAACUCCUUGCCCUGAUCUUAGACUCCUUAAAUUUGAACCACUGCUUCCAGCCCAGCUAGCCUUGGCUUAUCUAUCACUUAGCCAGAGCAUAGUGUCUGCUGUGGCUGAAUCUUCCUUACUCUCAAGUAAGAGCCUCUGCCAUCAUGGUGUGAGCGAAAGCCAGGUCACACUUCUCCAGAUUUUGUGAUGUGACUCCCCAACUAAAAAUGCAUACCAAAAUGUGCAUAUUAUGGGAAUGUGCACAUGCACAUUUAUUGGUGAUUGUGAACAUGCUGUACGGAAAUCCAUUGCAAAAAUUGCUUGCAAUGUGUAAAUUUACAUGCAAAAAUGUCUAUACUUGAAGAAAUCAGCAUGAAAAUUCAAUUAAAAAAAAAAGAAAUCACACACUGAUGCAGAAAUAGGGUGAACUGAAUUUCAGAUUAGGUAAAGGGACCCCUGACCGUUAGGUCCAGUCGCGGACUACUCUGGGGUUGCGGUGCUCAUAUCGCUUUAUUGGCCGAGGGAGCCGGCCUACAGCUUCUGGGUCAUGUGGCCAGCAUGACUAAGCCGCUUCUGGCGAACCAGAGCAGUGCAUGGAAACGCCGUUUAUCUUCCAGCUGGAGCGGUACCUAUUUAUCUAUUUGCACUUGAUGUGCUUUCGAACUGCUAGGAGCAGGGACCAAGCAACGGGAGCUCACCCCGUUGCGGGGAUUCGAACCGCCAACCUUCUGAUCAGCGAGCCCUAGGCUUUCAGAUUACAAACUGAGAAAAAAUAACUUGUUUACAAUUUUACACGCUUAUUGCAAAUCUCAUUCAUGCGUGAAACAGUUUGAAAGUUCACAGCUUCCACAUAGCACAAACGCGGCUCUAUUCUUGGAUUCCAUUGUCCUUAAUCUGGAAGAACUGCUUUUGCUCCUUGGUUCUUUACUUGAAAGCCCUACAUCACCAAGAAGCAGGCGUUGGAAAGGUGGGUCAAGCCAACCCUUUUACCGCUCUGUCACUACCACAUGCCCCACAAAGUGUGUGCACAGGUAAACACUCCACAUUCAAUUAUCUUGAAUAUGCAUCCUGAGCUGCAGUCAAAGUAUCAGGUUCUGAUCUAGCUUACCCGAGAUUUAAACCCAUGUAAUCAUGUUAGCUUAAAUGGUAUUACCCUGGUGCAUGACAGCAUGCUCUGAAAUGGGAAGAGCAAAGUCUGUGACUUUUCUUUCUUUUUCUUUUUUUCCAGAAAGACAUUUAUCCUGAGACGUAAAGGGUGCCUUGCUUUCUCCUCUCUCUCUCUCUCUCUCUCUUAAUUGAGGCUUUCAGCACAAACUAGGUUAAAAUUCUGGCCACUCUUGUGGUAAAAUGAACAGAACUUUGUAAUAUACUGCAGUCGGCUUACACAGUUGAUCAGAAGAAGCAUUCUCCAGUUGCUGUACUUGAACAUUCCACAACAACCCAAGCCAAAACCCCGCUCUGCUCUGUUUAGAUGCUGCUCUCCAGGAUUUAGCCUGACACCUUCCAAACAGACUGCACGAAAGAGAUGUCUUGUUUUGUUCUGCUGGUUAUCAUUCUUCCCUUCCUUUCUAUCCCCUCCCUCCUUCGGAGAGAUUUCAGCAAAAACCAUAAGCUUCUGACAGAGUGAAUUUGUGAUCUUAUCCAAUCAUCUGGGCUGUUUGCAAAACUUCAAUAGGUGGCAGCGUUUGGUUGAUAAAUGUUUUGUUAUCCAAGUGAUCUCAUUUAGUGCAACUGUUGCAAUAUUAAUAAACCGAACUUAUGAUUGCAUUUGCCAGGACUGAAAACAUUGCCAUAUCCCUGGCAUUCGCUCAUCUGAACUGACAACAGUGUUCUUUGUGCUAUGGAAAGGCAGCAUUCUUCUGUGUCUGUGUCAGCAUGUGUACUGUUCGGGGGCAAACGGGGGAACAGAUGGGGCAGAGAGGGAAUGAACGCAGCGUAGGUUGGGAGCCUGUUUUGUGCUUGUAAUCCAAAGGUUUCUUUUUUUAAAAAGUGCACCUGGGAAAUGCAAAGCUAUUGUCUCUCUCUGUCUUCUUUCUUUACUGUUUUGCAUCCGAUCCAGUGCAGACCAGGUUGAUAGUUCUUGAAACAUCCUAUCUGACUUCUACCGGACAAUAAUAAUAGAAUCAUUGGGUUGAUUCAUCAUGUAUACAUACUUACAGCCUUUGGCUAUCAUCCUGUGGCUAGUGAUAUGAGCUCUGAGUAUGGAUUUUCUUGAGCUCUCAGUCUCACUUCGUGAACCAAAUCCUCACUUUAAUCUCUAUAAUCUCUGUUUGGGAUGGGUAAAUUGUGUUGGCCAACUCAGGUUUGUUUCUGCAGAAACAAAUCUUCUGUUUUUUCAGAAAGUAUUGCUUUAUCAAGAAUCUAGCAGUGCUAGAUUCCAAAACUCUGAGUCUACAGAGUUAAGUACACUUGAAUCAAUGGUGUUUGUUCUAGAUUGCAGUUACAGCCAAAAUGUUGAUCCAGCCAUUUGGGGAGUAAUUGGAAGCAAGACUAUUAUUUGUAUUAGACAUGAUAGAUAGAUGUUAGAUAGAUGGAGAGAGAGAAGAAGGAGGAGGAGGAGGAGGAGGAGGAGGAAGAGAAGUGUCUACUGCCACCUUUAUCACUUUCCUUGUGUAAGUACUGAAUGAUACACCAGCUUUUAUCUCCUAUCUUAGUUGAAACUGAUUCUCUUGGCAAUUUCACCUCCUCCAAUGAGUUUGGUUGCUGCGAGUUGUCUACUAGUCAAAGCAAGGCAGAUCUUUUUGAAGGCAAGAGUUUUUGGGGUACUGGAACUUAGCACUGCAAAAUCUUAGGGGGUGAGGGAUGAACAGUUUUAGUAGACAACUUGUAACCAAUGUGCAGACACAACUCCAUGAUAAUUCUGCCCUCUUGGAUAAAUCGAAAGCACAAGUCUUGCUUAAUUUGUGAGCAGUAAUGAUAAAGCUAGGCCUUUGGCACAGGUUCCCAAUCUGUAUUCCUCACUCUCUCCAUAGUACAGCUUCUCCUAAAUCAGCAAAGGCAGACACAACUUAGAACAUAUGGAAUGCCAACUGCAGAACUGGCACCAUGACAGCUGCCACAUAAUACUCAUUCUGUGCUUGUAAGGAAUCAUUCUCCUAGUGUGGUAGAACUUUUGAACUCUCUGCCUCUUGAGAUCAGGCAGGUGCACCCCCCUGCUUAAAGCAGUUUUGUUUAGGUAAGCCUAUAUGGUCAGCAGGUAGAUGUUGAUGUGUUUCAAUCUCUUUAAUCUUUAAUCAUGGCCACUGGUCCCAUCACCUCCUGGCAAAUAGAAGGGGAAGAAAUGGAGGCAGUGAGAGAUUUUACUUUCUUGGGUUCCAUGAUCACUGCAGAUGGUGACAGCAUCAUGAAAUUAAAAGACGCCUGCUUCUUGGGAGAAAAGCAAUGACAAACCUAGACAUAAUCUUAAAAAGCAGAGACAUCACCUUGCCAACAAAGGUCCGUAUAGUUAAAGCUAUGGUUUUCCCAGUAGUAAUGUAUGGAAGUGGGAGAAGACUUCCUAGAAAAGACCCUGAUGUUGGGAAAGAUUGAGGGAACAAGGAGAAGGGGACGACAGAGGACGAGAUGGUUGGACAGUGCUCUCGAAGCUACUAACAUGAGUCUGACCAAACUGCAGGAGGCAGUGGAAGACAGAAGUGCCUGGCGUGCUUUGGUCCAUGGGGUCACGAAGAGUCAGACACGACUAAACGGCUAAACAACAACAAUCUCUUUCUAGUUCACUGCAGGCU